GUUAAUAGGGCACAGAGUCUACUUGGAUGAGUAGCACUGAACUAGUUGGCAUCAACAGGGCAGGGAGUCCACUCAGACUAGUGGCAAUGAACUAGUUCGUUUUAACAAGCCAGAGGGCCUGCUUGACUGGUUGCCACUGAACAAGUUGGUUCUAACAGGGUAGAGAGCCUACUUGGGUGAAUGGGACUGAAGUAGUUUGUGUUAAUGGACCCAAGAGCCUGCUCAGGCAAGUGACACUGAGCUAGUUGGCAUUAACAGGUCAAAGAGCCUAUUCGGCUAAUUGGCCCUGAAGUAGCUGGCAUUAACAGGCCUGAGAGCCCACUCAGCCGAUUGGCACUGAACUAGUUGGUAUGAACAGGGUAGAGGGCCCACUUGGCUGGAUGCCACUGAAGAAGUUGGUUUUAACAGGGUAGAGAGCACACUUGGGUGAAUGGGACAGAACUAGUUGGCAUUAACAGGACAGAGAGCCCACUCAGCUGAUUGGCACUGAACUAGUUGGUGUUAAUAAGCUUAGAGAGCCUGCUCGGCUGGAUGCCACUGAAGAAGUUGGUUUUAACAGAGUAGAGAGCACACUUGGGUGAAUGGGACUGAACUAGUUGGCAUUAACAGGACAGAGAACCCACUCAGACGAUUGGCACUGAACUAGUUGGUGUUAACAGCUCAGUGUUAUUGUGACACAUGUUGCUGAAUUCCACAUGAAAGCUGGUUUCAGAUUUACCCAGCAAAGAAAAACAAGACGUCUACCAAGUGCUUUCCCGUGCACAGACUAAUUAUAAAGUUAAAAACACAUGUCUGCUGGUUCACUUCCUUCUUUUAGCUUGGGGCCAUAUAAUUAUAUUAAAAAAAAGACUUUGCAUUUUAAAAAAAAGAAAA